UACGAAGGGGGCUAGCGUUGCUCGGAAUUACUGGGCGUAAAGCGCACGUAGGCGGUUCGUUAUGUCGGAUGUGAAAGCCCUUGGCUUAACCGAGGAAGUGCAUCCGAAACUGGCGAGCUAGAGUACGAAAGAGGAUAGCGGAAUUCCCGGUGUAGAGGUGAAAUUCGUAGAUAUCGGGAGGAACACCGGUGGCGAAGGCGGCGAUCUGGGUCGAUACUGACGCUGAGGUGCGAAAGCGUGGGGAGCAAACAGG
rnacentral:rRNA from 1 species